UACGUAGGGAGCAAGCGUUGUCCGGAUUCACUGGGUGUAAAGGGUGCGCAGGCGGAUCGGUAAGUCAGAGGUGAAAUCUCACAGCUCAACUGUGAAACUGCCUUUGAUACUGCUGAUCUUGAGUUAGGGAGAGGUUGAUGGAAUUCCGGGUGUAGCGGUGGAAUGCGUAGAGAUCCGGAAGAACACCAGUGGCGAAGGCGGUCUGCUGGGCAGUUGCUGACACUGAUGCGCGACAGCGUGGGGAGCAAACAGG
rnacentral:rRNA from 1 species